AACGAACGCUGGCGGCAUGCCUAACACAUGCAAGUCGAACGAGACCUUCGGGUCUAGUUGCGCACGGGUGCGUAACGCGUGGUAACCUGCCCUUAGGUUCGGAAUAACUCCCCUAAAGGGGUGCUAAUACCGGAUAAUGUCUUCGGACCAAAGAUUUAUCGCCUUUGGAUGGGCCCGCGUUGGAUUAGCUAGUUGGUAGGGUAAAAGCCUACCAAGGCGACGAUCCAUAGCUGGUCUGAGAGGAUGAUCAGCCACACUGGGACUGAGACACGGACCAGACUCCUACGGGAGGCAGCAGUGGGGAAUAUAGGACAAUGGGCGAAAGUCUGAUAAAGCAAUGCCGGGUGAGUGAUGAAGGGGUUAGGGUUGUAAAGCUCUUUUACACGGGAUGAUAAUGACAGUAACGGGAGAAUAAGCUCCGGCUAACUCCGUG
rnacentral:rRNA from 1 species